UACGGAGGAUCCGAGCGUUAUCCGGAAUCAUUGGGUUUAAAGGGUCCGUAGGCGGGCCAUUAAGUCAGGGGUGAAAGUCUGCGGCUCAACCGUAGAAUUGCCCUUGAUACUGGUGGUCUUGAGUUAUGGUGAAGUGGCCGGAAUAUGUAGUGUAGCGGUGAAAUGCAUAGAUAUUACAUAGAACACCGAUUGCGAAGGCAGGUCACUAACCAUAUACUGACGCUGAUGGACGAAAGCGUGGGGAGCGAACAGG
rnacentral:rRNA from 1 species